AUUGAACGCUGGCGGAAUGCUUUACACAUGCAAGUCGAACGGCAGCACGGGGCAACCUGGUGGCGAGUGGCGAACGGGUGAGUAAUACAUCGGAACGUGCCCAAUCGUGGGGGAUAACGUAGCGAAAGUUACGCUAAUACCGCAUACGAUCUACGGAUGAAAGCGGGGGAUCGCAAGACCUCGCGCGAAUGGAGCGGCCGAUGUCAGAUUAGGUAGUUGGUGGGGUAAAGGCGCACCAAGCCAACGAUCUGUAGCUGGUCUGAGAGGACGACCAGCCACACUGGGACUGAGACACGGCCCAGACUCCUACGGGAGGCAGCAGUGGGUAAUUUUGGACAAUGGGCGCAAGCCUGAUCCACCCAUUCCGCGUGCAGGAUGAAGGCCUUCGGGUUGUAAACUGCUUUUGUACGGAACGAAACGGCUCUUUCUAAUACAGGGGGCUAAUGACGGUACCGUAAGAAUAAGCACCGGCUAACUACGUGCCAGCAGCCGCAGUAACAC
rnacentral:rRNA from 1 species